ACGAACGCUGGCGGCGUGCCUAAUACAUGCAAGUUGAGCGCUGAAGGUUGGUACUUGUACCGACUGGAUGAGCAGCGAACGGGUGAGUAACGCGUGGGGAAUCUGCCUUUGAGCGGGGGACAACAUUUGGAAACGAAUGCUAAUACCGCAUAAAAACUUUAAACACAAGUUUUAAGUUUGAAAGAUGCAAUUGCAUCACUCAAAGAUGAUCCCGCGUUGUAUUAGCUAGUUGGUGAGGUAAAGGCUCACCAAGGCGAUGAUACAUAGCCGACCUGAGAGGGUGAUCGGCCACAUUGGGACUGAGACACGGCCCAAACUCCUACGGGAGGCAGCAGUAGGGAAUCUUCGGCAAUGGACGAAAGUCUGACCGAGCAACGCCGCGGGAGUGAAGAAGGUUUUCGGAUCGUAAAACUCUGUUGGUAGAGAAGAACGUUGGUGAGAGUGGAAAGCUCAUCAAGUGACGGUAACUACCCAGAAAGGGACGGCUAACUACGUG
rnacentral:rRNA from 1 species